UUGGGUUCCCCCUUCUUGAACGGUCCAAAUCCAACGGUCCAAGUAACCCCAACAAACCCUAUAAGGUAUACGCUCCCCAUCCGCCGCCACGACCGAAGUCGUACCGGCGCCUUCACCCACCUCCAACCCUAGGCUCCGGCGAUGGCCCGCUCCGCUCCCCGUCGGCGUCCCCCGCCUCCGCCGCCGCCGAGGGUUUCCUCUUCGGAGGAGACCGCCUCCGACAAGUCGUCGUCGUCGUCGUCGGAGGAGGAGGAGGAGGAGGAGGCUGUCCUCAACAAGGGAGAGGACAGCAACAAGGGAGAGGAGUCGGACUCCUCCGAUGAGGGGUAAUCGGAGGAUGAAGAGGAAGCGGAGGAGGACAUGGUAAAGUCCUCCGCUACCAACAGCAGGGCUCCACCGCUGAAGAAUCGCGAGGGGGAGGAAGAGGAUGAACCGUCCAAAUCAGAGAAGGCGCCGCAGCUGCCGACGAAGAAGCAGGCUUUCCAGCGCAUCUGGUCGACCGAGGACGAGUAUGGAAGUCAACUAUUCAACUCCUGCGGACAUUGUGAGGCCUAGAAGCGAUGGGAUAAGACAAACUUACUUUCAGCAAUUGGACAUAUUAACCCCCAUUAUGUCGCCUUCACCUCUGCGGCUUCAGCAAUUCAUUGACCAAGAGCAGUAGGUUAAGGAUGCUGAUGUCAUUAUGGAUGAGUCAAAAGAAGUGCCGUCACCCUUGGAGCUUCAUAAGAUGAUGGAUUGGCGGGAUGAGCUCCUCAUACGGCUUGGCCACCCUUGUAUCUUUGAGAAUGGCAUGUUUGUCCCAGAUCCUAAUUGGGAUCCCUACGCUGGAUUUAGUCCAAAGUUGCAGAGCAAGUACCUCUUUGUGGAUCGAACCAACUUCCAUAAUGUCGACAUAAACGAUUUUCUUGGCUUAAAUAGACACCGAGGAGCUUCUUUCCACAGAAGGGAUUUGGACAGCUGCUAUGAUAUAUUGGAAAUCCCAACACAUGGGCCAUGAUUAUGAUCUGAUCCCUAAAAAUAUCAGAUUUUAUCCUGUUGUUUUUGAGAGCCGUACAUGGUACCACUGCAAUCUGUUGGCUCAAAAAAGAGAAUCCUCUCCCCAGAAUCUUGUCUGGUUCUUUGUGGAGGUAAACUAUGAAGCAAGUAAAGUCCAAUGCAUGAGAGAGGUCAACUAUAAUGUGGUCUAAUGCGUCCUACUUGGGUAUGUGCUCGUAAUAUUGACAUUGUCCACCCAAGAAAUGGAGGUUUCACAUGUGGUAGUCAAGACGGACUAAAGGUCUUUCUUCACUCCAUUCCCGGGUUGUUGAAUCACGUCAUCCUGAGGAAGAUCAACCAGCCAUACUUAAAAGUUGUUGAACCAUGUUAUCCCCAGGAAGGUAGGAAGAUCAACCAGUCACACUUAAAGUUGUCUCUGAACUAACCAAAUGAGAACUAAAAGAGCAUUUCUUUGGUAGUUGGUAGAAAAUAGCAAUGACUAGAUUCUGGUGGCAAUGACGAACAGCAAUGUGGCAGCCACAACCAAAUUCCUUAGCUAUAGUGUUUUCUUUUCACUUUGGUCUUUGGCCCAACUUCCACAUCAUAUUCAUCCCUGUAAUCUCGGUUUAUAUCUGCAUGAAGUUUGUCACAUGAGAGAGAAUCAUACCCUUUUAAUCCCUUGGGAUGAACAGUAUGAAAGAUAAGUCAAUCCCCCAACAACAAGAAAACACACACACACACAAAGAGAAGACUUUGUGACCAUGAGGAACAUUAGUUCAUAGUAUUCUGCUUGUUCUACUUGUUGAAAAACUGAAACUCUGUCCACAUAAAGAAAAAAGAAUUAUUUGGAUCUGAUGAAAUUCUACUUGGCUGGUUUAGUUAGCGGUUCUAGGGGCCCGAUGGUUUGUGACCGACUGUUGCAUACUUUCAUGUGAUGAACUUAUUAUAUUCAGUGGAUACAGAACACCUGCACUUGGACAGCAUAUUUUCAGUCCAAUAAAUAGAAUUGUGCUUAUUCUCAGAGAAGUACUUUGUGUGUGUAUGUGUUGUAUUUGUGGAUAAAAGUGACUCUUCACCUAAUAAAUCCUUGAGGCAUAUUUUGUUUCUAUUACACAUUUAUGGAUAAAAGCCACUAUUUUCUGGAGAUACUAUUUAUACUUGUAUUUGUAUGUUGGAAAGUAUUGUAGUGGUGCUGCAGUGUAGUUUCCAGAAUCUGUGUAAGCAUUACCACAUAUUAGGCUGAUAUUUCCAGUACCCUGCAAUUUCAUGCACCCUCACCCCAUAACACAUGCUGCAAGUUAUAUGCCCUGCAUUAUGACAUCUGCUGCUUUUCAACUACAUUUUAUUCAUGGACCAUCCUGUAGGAGUUAAUUCUGGAGUUAUUCUUCACUUCA